rnacentral:lncRNA from 1 species
GGAGCCAUUGUGCCUAGUAUAAAAUAACUUAUCCUUUCUGUAUUGCUCCAACAGAAAUCUCUCUUCUCAUCAUCCUAUUAAAUGAGACCUUAUUAAAUGACAAGCAAAUGCUUUUCUACCUACCUGGUGAAGGAGCCACGGUGUGGUCCAGCAUUGGCAUAUAUAAUGAGAUGGUCUCCAGAUGCACAGCCCACGUGUUUGUGAAAACUGCAUCAUAUCAUCA